rnacentral:lncRNA from 1 species
UCCUCUUCUUCUUCUCCUCCUCCUCCUUCUAAUUCUUCUUCUCCUUCUUCUUCUUUUCUUCUUCUUCUCUUCCUCUCCUAUUUUUCUUCUUCUUCUUCUUCUUCUUAUUUUCUUUUUUCUUUUUUCCUCUUAUUCUUCUCUUCCUCUCGUAUUUUUCUUCUUCUUCUUCUUCUUCUUCUUCUUCUUGUUCUUGUUCUUCUUCUUCUUCUUCUUCUUAUUUUCUUUUUUCUUUUUUCCUACUAUUCUUCUUCUCCUUCUUCUUCUUUUCUUCUUCU